GACGAACGCUGGCGGCGUGCUUAACACAUGCAAGUCGAACGAUGAAGCCCAGCUUGCUGGGUGGAUUAGUGGCGAACGGGUGAGUAACACGUGGGUGAUCUGCCCUGCACUCUGGGAUAAGCCUGGGAAACUGGGUCUAAUACCGGAUAUGACCUCGGGAUGCAUGUCAUGGGGGGGAAAGUUCUUCGGUGCAGGAUGAGCCCGCGGCCUAUCAGCUUGUUGGUGGGGUAAUGGCCUACCAAGGCGACGACGGGUAGCCGGCCUGAGAGGGCGACCGGCCACACUGGGACUGAGACACGGCCCAGACUCCUACGGGAGGCAGCAGUGGGGAAUAUUGCACAAUGGGCGCAAGCCUGAUGCAGCGACGCCGCGUGAGGGAUGACGGCCUUCGGGUCGUAAACCUCUUUCAGCAGGGACGAAGCGCAAGUGACGGUACCUGCAGAAGAAGCACCGGCCAACUACGUGCCAGCAGCCGCCGCGG
rnacentral:rRNA from 1 species